CAACUGUCUCUUGACUGAGACUAGCGACUUGUGCGCUAACUUUUGACUUGACCUCAAAUCAGGUAGGACUACCCGCUGAACUUAAGCAUAUCAAUAAGCGGAGGAAAAGAAACUAACAAGGAUUCCCCUAGUAACUGCGAGUGAAGCGGGAAAAGCUCAAAUUUAAAAUCUGGCGGUCUCCGGCCGUCCGAGUUGUAAUUUAGAGAAGCGUUAUCCGUGCUGGACCGUGUAUAAGUCUCCUGGAAUGGAGCGUCAUAGAGGGUGAGAAUCCCGUCUUUGACACGGACUACCAGUGCAUUGUGAUGCGCUCUCGACGAGUCGAGUUGUUUGGGAAUGCAGCUCAAAAUGGGUGGUAAAUGCCAUCUAAAGCUAAAUAUUGGCGAGAGACCGAUAGCGAACAAGUACCGUGAGGGAAAGAUGAAAAGAACUUUGGAAAGAGAGUUAAACAGUACGUGAAAUUGUCGAAAGGGAAACGGUUGCAGUCAGUCGCGUCCGCCGGGGAUCAACCUUGCUUUUGCUUGGCGUAUUUCCCGGUGGAUGGGUCAGCAUCAGUUUUGACCGCAGUUGAAAGGCUGGAGGAAUGUGGCACCUUCGGGUGUGUUAUAGCCUCCUGUCAUAUGCUGCGGUUGGGACUGAGGAACUCAGCACGCCGAAAGGCCGGGAUUCGUCCACGUUCGUGCUUAGGAUGCUGGCAUAAUGUCUGUAACCGACCCGUCUUGAAACACGGACCAAGGAGUCUAACAUGCACGCGAGUGUUUGGGUGGCAAACCCGAGCGCGUAAUGAAAGUGAAAGUUGAGACCUCUGUCGUGGAGGGCAUCGACGCCCGGACCAGAACUU
rnacentral:rRNA from 1 species